rnacentral:rRNA from 1 species
UACGUAGGGUGCAAGCGUUAAUCGGAAUUACUGGGCGUAAAGCGUGCGUAGGCGGUUGGCUAAGUCAGAUGUGAAAGCCCUGGGCUCAACCUGGGAAUGGCAUUUGAAACUGGCUGGCUAGAGUGUGAUAGAGGAUGGCGGAAUUCCCGGUGUAGCGGUGAAAUGCGUAGAGAUCGGGAGGAACACCAGUGGCGAAGGCGGCCAUCUGGAUCAACACUGACGCUGAGGCACGAAAGCGUGGGGAGCAAACAGG